rnacentral:lncRNA from 1 species
UGUCUAGAUGGGGUCCGGCUACUAUACUAUUAUGAGUACGAUCGCCCUCGUACUCAUAAAUUGUUUUCGAUGAUAGAGCUUCCGAAUCGACGAUCCACACAGUUAAACGUUAUUUACAGCAUUUAAAAACUUCUAGAAAUCAAAUUUUAUAAUUUUUCGUCAUCAUUUACCUUACGAUCAAGAGGUCACAAAUUUGACAAUUUUUAACGGCCGGUAUGAGAUACUUGCUAGUUUAACGGUGUAAAAGAAUCGGAAUUUGUUGAAUUUUUGAUAGAAAAUUCUAUUCACUGCAUAGAUAAAGAUCAAUAACUCCGAUCUUGAAUUGAAAGAUCCGAUCAUCCUUUUUUAGAAUGUCGUUCGAUUUUGACCGUUCAUUUUAUACCCACUUAAUGGACUUUAUUAUGAUUUCGAAAAUUUACAAAAUUUAUUUUCUAGAAGUUUCAAAUACUCUAGAUCAUAUAUAACGGAGUGGAUCGUCGAUUCGGAAGCUCCAUCAUUGAAAACAACUUAUGAGUACGAGAGCUCCAAUACUCAUAAUAGUAUAGUAGCCAUGGCCGUCUAGAUGCAUGAAUAUCUUAGUCAAUAUAUUAUUUUAAAUUUUCAUAAAUGUCAUUUAAAUAAUGGAAUAAAUUAUUCAAUAAUAACU